GGGCGUAGCUCAGGGGUAGAGCACAACCUUGCCAAGGUUGGGGUCGAGGGUUCGAAUCCCUUC
rnacentral:tRNA from 1 species